CACCCUGUCUCCGUUUCAGAAUGUGCAUUUGUGUUUAUUUCCUAGCUGACUGAAAAUGCAUAGGUAACAGCUGUUUUGACAGCUCGGUGCCAAUUCUUCCAAUUUCUCUGCAUGAAACUCCUAUUGAUUUCUAUCUGAAUUUCAUAUUUGGAGCAGUUUCAAGAUCAGACUCAUUCUUUAUCAACUCUCAAAUUUAUUCCCUGACCAAACUUAUUUUCUUGGUCCUGUUGUGUGGUUCUGUAGCUCGCUUGUGUGUUUAUUCUUGAAAUCAAGAUUAUGCAGUUUUGGUAGUACUUACAGAAUACAAUGUGUAUACAGUCAAAUCUUUCUCCAGUUCAUUAAUGCUAUGGAUAAUAUUUGUCCUCUCACUUGAUGUCCCAAUGUAUUUUGUCUUUCUGUCUCUGUUUUCUAAACUUUAAACUUCUGGGGCUGGGUCCAUCUUGAUAUCUGCACAGCACUGGACAUGUUUACUUUGUUUUUGUUGUG